rnacentral:rRNA from 1 species
UACGUAGGGGGCAAGCGUUAUCCGGAUUUACUGGGUGUAAAGGGAGCGUAGACGGCAGUGCAAGUCUGAAGUGAAAGCCCCGGGCUUAACCCGGGAACUGCUUUGGAAGCUGUACGGCUGGAGUGCUGGAGAGGUAAGCGGAAUUCCUAGUGUAGCGGUGAAAUGCGUAGAUAUUAGGAGGAACACCAGUGGCGAAGGCGGCUUACUGGACAGUAACUGACGUUGAGGCUCGAAAGCGUGGGGAGCAAACAGG